rnacentral:rRNA from 1 species
GACGAACGCUGGCGGCGUGCUUAACACAUGCAAGUCGAACGAUGAAGCGGGUGCUUGCCCUCGUGGAUUAGUGGCGAACGGGCGAGUAACACGUGAGUAACCUGUCCUUUUCUUUGGGAUAACGGCUGGAAACGGCUGCUAAUACUGGAUAUUCAGGCUGCAUCGCAUGGUGUGGUUUGGAAAGGUUUUUUCUGGGCUUGGGUGGGCUCGCGGCCUAUCAGCUUGUUGGUGGGGUGAUGGCUUACCAAGGCUUUGACGGGUAGCCGGCCUGAGAGGGUGGUCGGUCGCACUGGGACUGAGAUACGGCCCAGACUCCUACGGGAGGCAGCAGUGGGGAAUAUUGCACAAUGGACGAAAGUUUGAUGCAGCGACGCCGCGUGGAGGGUGUAGGCCUUCGGGUUGUGAACUCCUUUUUCUCGCGAAAAAGGCACAGUUUUGGCUGUGUUGAUGGUAGUGGGGGAAGAAGCGCCGGCUAACUACGUG